rnacentral:rRNA from 1 species
UACGUAGGGUGCGAGCGUUAAUCGGAAUUACUGGGCGUAAAGCGUGCGUAGGCGGUUCGUUAAGUUCGUUGUGAAAGCCCCGGGCUCAACCUGGGAAUGGCAAUGGAAACUGGCGGGCUGGAGUAUGGCAGAGGGGGGGUGGAAUUCCGCGUGUAGCAGUGAAAUGCGUAGAGAUGCGGAGGAACACCGAUGGCGAAGGCAGCCCCCUGGGCCAAUACUGACGCUCAGGCACGAAAGCGUGGGGAGCAAACAGG